rnacentral:rRNA from 1 species
AGAGUUUGAUCCUGGCUCAGGAUGAACGCUGGCGGCGUGCCUAACACAUGCAAGUCGAGCGGCAGCGCGAGUAGUUUACUACUUGGCGGCGAGCGGCGAACGGCUGAGUAACGCGUGGGAAUUUGCCCCAAAGUGAGGAAUAACUGCCCGAAAGGGUGGCUAAUGCCGCAUAUGAUCUUCGGAUUAAAGGAUUUAUCCGCUUUGGGAGAAGCCCGCGUCGGAUUAGGUAGUUGGUGAGGUAAUGGCUCACCAAGCCGACGAUCCGUAGCUGGUCUGAGAGGAUGACCAGCCAGACUGGAACUGAGACACGGUCCAGACUCCUACGGGAGGCAGCAGUGAGGAAUCUUCCACAAUGGGCGAAAGCCUGAUGGAGCAACGCCGCGUGCAGGAUGAAGGCCUUCGGGUUGUAAACUGCUUUUAUAAGUGAGGAAUAUGACGGUAGCUUAUGAAUAAGGAUCGGCUAACUACGUGCCAGCAGCCGCGGUCAUACGUAGGAUCCGAGCGUUAUCCGGAGUGACUGGGCGUAAAGAGUUGCGUAGGCGGUUUGUUAAGUGAAUAGUGAAAUCUGGUGGCUCAACCAUACAGGCUAUUAUUCAAACUGGCAAACUCGAGAGUGGUAGAGGUCACUGGAAUUUCUUGUGUAGGAGUGAAAUCCGUAGAUAUAAGAAGGAACACCGAUGGCGUAGGCAGGUGACUGGACCAUUUCUGACGCUAAGGCACGAAAGCGUGGGGAGCGAACCGGAUUAGAUACCCGGGUAGUCCACGCCGUAAACGAUGGAUACUAGCUGUUGGAGGUAUCGACCCC